rnacentral:rRNA from 1 species
GAUGAACGCUGGCGGCGUGCCUAAUACAUGCAAGUCGAACGCUGGAAAUCUAGCUUGCUGGAUUGAAGGAGUGGCGAACGGGUGAGUAAUACAUAAGCAACCUACCCACGAAGACUGGGAUAAUCUCUGGAAACGGGGACUAAUACCGGAUAGGUAAUCGGAAGGCAUCUUCUGAUUAUUAAAGGUUAAAAACACUGGUGGAUGGGCUUAUGGCGCAUUAGUUAGUUGGUGAGGUAACGGCCCACCAAGACGAUGAUGCGUAGCCGGCCUGAGAGGGUGAACGGCCACAUUGGGACUGAGACACGGCCCAGACUCCUACGGGAGGCAGCAGUAGGGAAUUUUCGGCAAUGGGGGAAACCCUGACCGAGCAACGCCGCGUGAGUGAUGACGGCCUUCGGGUUGUAAAGCUCUGUUGUAAGGGAAGAACGGUAGAUAGAGAAUAUCUAAAUGACGGUACCUAACCAGAAAGCCACGGCUAACUACGUG